AGUCCCUUUCCAUAUUCCGCUUCAUUCUCCCCUCCUGGCGUGCCUCAAGGAACGACCACUGUCCCCACGUUACAGGUGCUUCUUCACCCCAACAAGGCUCAGUCAAGUGUGUUCUUCUCUGGGAAGCUGCAGACAUCUGACCCCAGGCCACAGAGUCAUACCCAGUCUGGCUCCCACAGCCCUCCCAGGCUGUCUGGUGUCAGUGCAGUAUUGUGGAUGGGAAGACACCUCUACCAUGUUGAGCUGCUCUGAGGUUUAAAUGUGUUACUGCUAACUGGGAUCUUAGAACAACUCCUGGUGCAUAGACACACACAGGACAGACUGGAAUAAAUACUGGUGGUUUAUCACAGGAAGGCUGGCCUCAGCUUGGGAGAGUGAGCGUGCACGCAUACACAGCCAGCUGAUUUAUUGUGACCCGAGCCAAGCACUGAACAGAGCGAGGCCAUUUAUCUACUUGGUUGGAGGAGAGGUCAAGAGAGAGAAGUCAGAGAUUAAGCUAAAUAGUUCAGUGCCUUUGUUAACUCCUGGGGCGUCUCCUCCCCGCGGCUUGUGUUCCCAGGGAAUACUGUCAUGAGCUCCACGGGGAAGACUGGACUGCUUCUUGGGGAGACAGCCCUGGCUCCAGGGAGCAGCGUGGCCAAGGACAUUCUCAGCCUCUUGGGGUUGCCAAAAGGGAGCAGAAGCAGGAGGAGGGAGGCGGGGAGCUGGGAGGAACACCCCAUCGUGGAAGACCUGCUGCCAAUGCGGGGCUACGGUCCCAGUCUCUCCCACCACCAGACCCUGGUCAGGAGGCAUCACAGAGAGGCUCCCUUCUCCCGCCUUCAUUCAGGGCUCUGCUCAAACAGCCCAUUUGCAAUAGGACUUCCUGCAGCGUCCUAGUUAAAUACCCCCACCCAUCCCUUCCCCUGCUUUAUUUUUCUUCAUGGUGCUCAGCACCCUGACAUAUCUAUGUCUGUUUUUGUUUACUUAUUGUUGGGUCUGUUUUUGAAUGAACUGCUAUGUCUCUGGUGUAAAGUCCAACGUGUGGCAGAUUGUAGGUGCUCAACAAAUAUCUAUUCAGUGAA